AGAUGAUCUCACAAAAAACGAAAUGCUACGUAUCACUCCCGUUAACCUGAUAAUUGGUGAUUCAUAAAUGAGUAUGGGGAGGGAGGGACUUGUGAUUAUGAUAUGGACAAUGGUAAAGGCAAAAGUGAAAAGAAAAUGCGCCAGUAUCCAAAGGGAGAGAAGAUAAUAAGCUGAUUGGUUACAAACUAAGGUGACGUCACUCGACAAAGCGGGACAAACUGAUGUCUGAGGGUAUAAUCGACACACUCGUCAGUAACAGGUAAGGAUCGCUCUCUUCAACAAGACGUCUAGGAACAGGUAUUUGGAGGCUUCAGGAAUGAAGGUUUGUGCUAGAUGCCACUUCGUGGCAAGUGCUGUUGCGGAAGUGAAGCUGUUCUUUAAAUACACCAGAAAGUGGUAAAGGAUACUUUUAGUGUUUGCUUCAAUAAAAAUACUUUACAAAAA